GAAGGUGUAGCUCCGUGGCAGAGCAUGUGCUUAGCAUGCACGAGGUUGUGGGUUUAAUUCCUAGUACCUCCU
rnacentral:tRNA from 1 species